UUUGAAUUAAAAUAACUAAUUAAAUCCACUCCCAUUUUUUCAAAAUGCCAAAACUAUCCUUAGCAUUUUGCCCCCAAAUUAAAGAACCUUAGGCAGCGCUUGCUCUCUUAAUCCAGUGGCGUUUCUCCACCGUUCAUCUGCGUCGUCAUCCUUCUACAUCGUUGUCGUCGUUGUUUUCCUGGGCGGCUUGAGCGUCGGUCGUCCGUCAUCUUUGGUUUGCACUGCUCUGCUCUACUCUAUUUGUCUUUGGUCUGCGCUGUGAUGUACUGCGCGUGCUCUGUUCGUCGUGUUCCAUCGCCUCACCUGGCAAUAAAAGUAAUAACGGAAGAGUGACGUGGGUAGGAUGCAACGUCUUGCUUGACAUCAUUGACGGUGACCGUCUCGUCUUCGAUCGCCUUUCCCCCGCUGCGAAAUUGAAGAUUGGGAAUAAGAACUGCUCUCUCCAACCGUUAAUCGGCACUCGCUUCGAUUCUCUCUUUCAACUCAAUAGCACUUCCCUCUCUCCUUUUAUACCUUCCCCUCAAGGUAUCUAUGCUUAUGCAUCAUUGCUGAUGCUACUAACAAUGAGGAAAUAAAAGAUGAUGGUCAACCGAAUCUUGAAUCCAAGGAUAAUCGCAAAUUGGUUGACAAUAACACUGCACAAACCCUCACUGGUAAAGAUAUUGAAGUCAUGCAAAGGCUAGCUACUAUGCUUUGAUUGAAGCUUUUGGUGGAAAGGGCUAUCUUGUUGGACACUUGAUGAACUUAAGUCUGCGAAUCCUUCUCGGCUCAGAUACCGGCCAUUACCAAUGUUAUUGUUGAUCCCUAUGCUGGUUCAAAGAGUGGGAGGCUGCAAUACAAUAAUUAAUUUUCAGAUUAUCUGUAUUAUACUGAAAUUACAUUUUCUAUGGUUUUCAUUUUUAUAUUUUCUAU